rnacentral:hammerhead_ribozyme from 1 species
GCACUGCUGACGAGUCUCAAACAGGACGAAACAGCUGUCCAUUGC